rnacentral:rRNA from 1 species
AACGCUAGCUACAGGCUUAACACAUGCAAGUCGAGGGGAAACGAUAUUGGAAGCUUGCUUCCGAUAGGCGUCGACCGGCGCACGGGUGAGUAACGCGUAUCCAACCUGCCCGUCACUUGGGAAUAACCUUGCGAAAGUAAGACUAAUGCCCAAUGACAUUUAUAGAAGGCAUCGGAAAUGAAUUAAAGAUUUAUCGGUGAUGGAUGGGGAUGCGUCUGAUUAGCUUGUUGGCGGGGUAACGGCCCACCAAGGCGACGAUCAGUAGGGGUUCUGAGAGGAAGGUCCCCCACAUUGGAACUGAGACACGGUCCAAACUCCUACGGGAGGCAGCAGUGAGGAAUAUUGGUCAAUGGGCGAGAGCCUGAACCAGCCAAGUAGCGUGCAGGAAGACGGCCCUAUGGGUUGUAAACUGCUUUUAUAGGGGAAUAAAGUGAGCCACGUGUGGUUUUUUGCAUGUACCCUAUGAAUAAGGACCGGCUAAUUCCGUGCCAGCAGCCGCGGUAAUACGGAAGGUCCGGGCGUUAUCCGGAUUUAUUGGGUUUAAAGGGAGCGUAGGCCGGAGAUUAAGCGUGUUGUGAAAUGUAGACGCUCAACGUCUGCACUGCAGCGCGAACUGGUUUCCUUGAGUACGCAUAAAGUGGGCGGAAUUCGUGGUGUAGCGGUGAAAUGCUUAGAUAUCACGAAGAACUCCGAUUG